UUAAAAACGUCUACCUCUUUCCACUCCAGGAAACCCUAAGUUCUAGCAAACCCCAAGGUCUGGGCAAAGAGGACCUUUUCUUUCCAUGCCCUCCCUACUCUCCCUGUCCCUGUGUCCUUUCACAGCACAGUGAAAAAUCUGCAGACCUCUCUGCAGGGCUUGGCUCUGUUGCAAGCCAUGACAUUCAGGGCAAAUCACUUCACCACUCCAAACCUCAGACUCCAAUCUGGGAGGCAAUGACCAGGGGUUCAAGGCACAGACUUUGAGGCCACACCAACCCGGAUACAGAUCCGCUCUGCUAUUUCUCAGCUGUGUGACAUCUGUUCCCUCAAUACUAAGCAGUACCUACCUCAGAGGGCUGUUGAAAGAAGGAAGAGACAAAGCAAGAGAAGUACUUAGCCAGAGCCUAGCACACAUUUGGCCCAGGACUCCUCUCCAGCCCCAUGUCCCGAAACUCUCCCUUAGUCCCUGGGCUCUAGUUACUCACCUUAUUCUGCUGCUCGAAGGAACCAAGCCCUUUCCCACCUCUGGGCUUCCACACAUACUGCUUCCUCUCCCGGGAACACUUGGCUCUUCCCCCAACUCCCCACCCCACAGACACUCCUUAGUUUAAAAGCUGCUUCCUGGGGCAGGCCCAGUGGCCGAGUGGUUAAGUUCCUGCGCUCUGCUUUGGCGGCCCAGGGUUUCGCCGGUUCAGAUCCUGGAGGCUGAGGCGGCAUCCUACAUAGCACAACCAGAGGUUCACUGAAUCUCUAAGAAUUGGGAUCUAACUGGAAAGACAGUUCAAGAAUUAAGGCCGCUGACCCUUAAUGACACUCCAUCCCCCUCAGGACUGGCUGGACCAGAUUUACGACAGCACGUCCGCAAACAGCCCCUGCUGAUUUCGAGACCCCUCUUCCUCAUCCUCGCUAAGACGUCUAUUUGCAUACGCCAGACUCGAGGGAAGCGGCCAGCGGUGGCUGAUUUGCAUGCUCUCGUGCUAUUGGUUGGGAGGGCGGCACGGGAGCCAAUGGCUUGCAGCAGCGUUU
rnacentral:lncRNA from 1 species